CACGUAGGGGGCGAGCGUUGUCCGGAUUCAUUGGGCGUAAAGCGCGCGCAGGCGGCUUGGAAAGUCGGGUGUGAAAACUCGGGGCUCAACCCCGGGCGUGCAUCCGAUACUGCCAGGCUUGAGGCAGGUAGGGGAGAUCGGAAUUCCUGGUGUAGCAGUGAAAUGCGUAGAUAUCAGGAGGAACACCGAUGGCGAAGGCAGGUCUCUGGGCUGACACUGACGCUCAUGCACGAAAGCGUGGGGAGCAAACAGG
rnacentral:rRNA from 1 species